rnacentral:misc_RNA from 1 species
GUCUACAAUGACGUCACUCCUCGAGCAGCACGGGCGCGGGGUGAUUAACCGCGACCAGCGGCGCCGCGGCGGCCGGCCGCUGCCACACCGCGACGCACGCCCCGCACCACUCGCAAUUUUCAUAUAGAAGAGGACACACGCGCGCUUGUCGUAGCCUUUAUUCCUAAUAUUUGUAACGUACCUACUACAAAAAUAAAUUGUCUUCAUUAUAAAAGGUCAUUAUUUUAUUUGUCUUGCCUAGACAAAUAUUGGCGACCGUCGAUAAAUCGGCUCGGAAUUACGAAGUCUAAAAUUCCAAAUUUGUAAUCGUAACGGACAUAUCAUCUUGGAGGAGUCAGUGCCUGGCGUUCUGCGGGACUUCUGUGUCAGCAGGGGAGUGCUCUUUCCUUGUUCCUUUGAUUUUCCAUCCUCCUUUAAUUGUGAAAGUGUAUAAAUCUCUGAGUGAGUAAAAUUGCAUUUACCUACAUAAUAGCUAUCGAAUUUGUAUGCGGGUAAAAAUCCAUUAGUUUUUGCUUGUAACCAAAUCCGAUAUACAUAAUACAGCCUUAAUGGUGACUGCCUACGCUUUAUAUGAUCAUUACGUGCCUCAUAAUUGUUAAAGCGCAGCGUAGGUACCUGCAUACCUUAUCAUUAUAGAUAAACUUUAACGUUUUAAUUUCACGUUUCAUAAGCUAUAUACAGCUGUAUUUUUGUACCCACUAUCGCAAGCGUUGCAGUCUGCUUCUUCUUAAUAGCUAAACUUUAAUACGAAAUAUCACCUCAUUUAUUAAAAUUCACCCGCUUUGUGAUAAAAUUCCGUCAAUUACCUACGUUCUUCAACUUGUCACUUCCUAUGCCCUUAGUUAAAAAUCGUAAGUUAUCUUAAUUACGUAUCGAUAUUCACGUAAAUUUACCUAAACAAUUCCAGGUAAUAAUAUUCCUACGGUCACACGUACUGCGCGUGAUCAAGCGCUGGCGCGUUGGGUCCACGCAUUUACACCGUGACGCCAGCCGCACGGCGGCCUAUCACACCGUGCAGUAGCAGCUACGGGGAUUGGAUCGUUGAACAAUCAACACUGGGGGCACUUCCUCAUCGGGCGGCCGCUGACGUCACUGCCGGCACCACCGGGCGACAACAUGAAACUUAAGAACCG